CAUUUCACACGGCACUUCUUCGAGAAACGUCGCUAACUUCAUACCGACGCUACGGCACGUACGUCGUGUCGUUGGCGAAUCGCGCGAAGGACGAGGAUCAAUCACGUCCAUUAUUAGGGAUACUGAUUCACUUCAAUAACGAUUAGACUUUAUCCUUCCUCCCGCACACGAAAAUGCGUACUUACAACGCACAGCUCGCGCUGAGUGAGCGAGCCGUAGGAUAAACACAAGCGACGGCCGUAGAGGUGACUCGGCCGCCGGCAGUUGCGUAGCCGGCGCGGCGACGAUUGACUCUCGCCAAUUUCGCACAAUUCGUGAAAGUACCCGUCAGUACCCGCGCACGGCGUCGGUAUGAAGUUGUCGAUAUUCAAAUCUAUCGUCGAAGGAGCGUCAUAACGCAUCGGUCAUUUCGUUUCGGCAUUCAAUCGCGAGCGUCGUAUUAUAACAGUGAGUUCGAUUGCGUUUUCGCGAGUCUUCCCUGCUUAUGCACGCGACGAGGAGGUGCGAGACGACAACAAAGCCCGAGAUGCAUCUGAUUCACUGGCAGAACAAGAUCAUCUUCAGGGCAUCGGCACCCUGUAUUGAAUGAACGGGGCCUAUUGCAGAUUGGUUUGAUCGCGUUUUUGCCUACGAAUGUGCGACGGGAAAACGCGAGACGAAGGAGAAACCUGGGAAAUAUCAAAGGCAUCUUCAAGAUCAUCUUCGGGGCAUCGGAAUAUUUAAUCACAAUUAUCGUAUCAUGAUGAUUGGUUUGAUCGCGUUUUCGCGAGUGUGGCCUGUGAGUUUGUGAUGGGAGAGCGCGAACCGACGACGAAGCCUAAGAGAGGUCAGGGUACUUUAAACGUCAUCUUCGGGGAAUUGAAUCAAUGUAGCUAUGGGGCAGAUAUUACAUCGAUGGAAUUGACAAGCCGAACAGCUUGAGAAGAGGAAGAAAGACUUAGAAGAGGCAUUGGGCACCAGUGGAGCAACUUUACGGCAAGUUCAAGAAAAUAGAUUAUAAGUUAUUAAAAUAUCUCUUGAACAACUAUUUUAUUUUCUUUUUAAUAUAUGUUUUUAAUAAUAUUAUUUUAAAUACGACUCUAUUUUUAAAUAAUAAAACAGAACGUACAAGAU